rnacentral:misc_RNA from 1 species
GGUAGACUUAAAUAUUUGAACUGUUAAACAAACAACAAGAACGAGAUAGAAUCCAAGCUCAUACCAUAACUAUAGCCUAUAUAUAGAGGUAAUAAAAUCUAACCAGUGGAGAUGAAAAUGGCAUAAUGAUCAAUAUAAGUCACUUGCAAGGGGUGAAUUUGCAAGUACCAUGGCCAUAACCAGAAUUCGCCCUCAUAAACCUAAGAGCAGUGAGGAGAACACUCCUUUGGGAGCCCAUUAAGGCCCAGUUCAUAUGUGUAACAACACUUAUUGAAUUGUAAGAGAAUUCCAGACUAUUAUAAGAGUUGAGGAGUGCUGUUGUCCCUUCCCUCAGGAGAGUCCUGUAAGGAUCUCCUCUCCCUUGUAGGCCUUGCCAUAAUGACAUGUCUGUACCAUAUCUUCUUGCUGCAAGCAACCCAAAAACAACUGCUACCUUCAUCUCAGGGUUCACUGCCCUCCAGUAGCAUUUGUACUCUGGCAUAGUCCAAUACUGGUGUGUACAAGCUGAUGCUUCCAGGAAAGGAACUGGUGGCAUAGGAGGCAGUGGAGGCAGCGGAGGCAAUCUAGGGAUUGGAGGGAGCUUGAAAGGUGGAGGCGAUGCAGUCACUGGAGGCCUUACGGGAUUUACAGGUGCAGGCACUGGGUUUGUGGAUCUUGGACAAAAUGACAUGGCCUGAGCAGGCUGAGAGAGCAAAGAAUCCACACUGUAAAUUUCCAUAUCAAACAUCCUGAACAUUAGCUUUAGCUUUUGGGCAGGACCAGCUGCUGCACCACAGCCAUUUGAACUCUGACCAUUGCUUGAAAUCUCAGCAUAACAAUUGCUCAAGUCUGGGGCGCCAUCAAACCUCAUUGCGUAGUUUCCAAACCAAUUUGUUGUCUCUUCUCUUGACAUUGUAAUUUGGCCAUUACUAUCUGCACAGGCCAUCGUGACUUUGAUUCCAUAAAUGGGAUAGUCGAAGAGAGAUCUUUGGCCAUCCUUGCAUUGGUCACAGAAGACAGUGCCACUAACCAUAGCAUCUCCUAAAGCCCCAUCAAUGGCUGAAGCAAGAAUGAGAAAGGCCAAGAAAAGGUACUUUUGUGACCAAUAAUCCAUGUUGCAUUUGGCAGCUAUGGAGGCAGAGCAGGCAGAAUAAAAAGGGCUUCAUGGAUGUGAA